GAGUAAAAGAUGAAACAAACAUUUUUAAGACUGAUAUUAUUAAUGAAGUUUUAAAAAUUCGAGCUUUUUAAAACUGUUGCCCA